UUUUAGCCCCGAUUGCAGCGGCAUCCUUUUGCGAAACGGAGUGUAGCAAAAGAUAUAGCGGAAAGCGGGACGGGUU
rnacentral:sRNA from 1 species